UACUCUUUGGUUACAGUUGUUCAACCAGUUACUAAUCUAACUAAUGUAACCGGUUGAACAACUGAACCCAAAGGGUGCA
ncrna:Eptesicus fuscus (big brown bat) microRNA efu-mir-582 precursor